rnacentral:rRNA from 1 species
ACUGCAUUUGAAACUGGGCAGGCUAGAGUCUCGUAGAGGGGGGUAGAAUCCAGGUGUAGCGGUGAAAUGCGUAGAGAUCUGGAGGAAUACCGGUGGCGAAGGCGGCCCCCUGGACGAAGACUGACGCUCAGGUACGAAAGCGUGGGGAGCAAACGGAUUAGAUACCCGGGUAGUCCACGCUGUAAACGAUGUCGAUUUGAAGGUUGUGGCCUUGAGCCGUGCUUCGGAGCUAACGCGUUAAAUCGACCGCCUGGGGAGUACGGCCGCAAGGUUAAAACUCAAAUGAAUUGACGGGGGCCCGCACAAGCGGUGGAGCAUGUGGUUUAAUUCGAUGCAACGCGAAGAACCUUACCUACUCUUGACAUCCAGAGAACUUGGCAGAGAUGCCUUGGUGCCUUCGGGAGCUCUGAGACAGGUGCUGCAUGGCUGUCGUCAGCUCGUGUUGUGAAAUGUUGGGUUAAGUCCCGCAACGAGCGCAACCCUUAUCCUUUGUUGCCAGCGAUUCGGUCGGGAACUCAAAGGAGACUGCCGGUGAUAAACCGGAGGAA